AGCAGCCGCGGUAAUUCCAGCUCCAGUAGCGUAUAUUAAAGUUGUUGCAGUUAAAAAGCUCGUAGUUGAAUUUCGGGGUUAGUAGGUUGGUCAUGCCUCUGGUAUGUACUGGUCUCACUGAUUCCUCCUUCCUGAUGAACCGUAAUGCCAUUAAUUUGGUGUUGCGGGGAAUUUGGACUGUUACU
rnacentral:misc_RNA from 1 species